AAUUUUGAACAAUUUUGCCCCCAAGUCAAGCCUAAGUCAACGAAUAAGUUUAACCUCGUCCGCAAAAAAUCCUAAUGCGAUUUCAUGAACCCUAGUGAUGUGAAAUCGAAUUGGGGUUGUUCACAAUUGUAGCUAAUUGAAGUUGUGAAAUCAAAUUGGGGCAAAAGUACUAGUAAUCUGAUUUCCCAAAGCUGUUGCUGCGAUUUUCAGAACAACCAUAUUUCGCAAUUGAAGGCAGAUCGGCAACAAAUUGUGCAAAUUUGAUAUCGUUUGACCAAAAUUUGUAUUCUACAUCAACCUAAUCAGCAUUUAUUCGGUAAGUUCUUUACUCAAUAUGUUUUUAGAAUUACCAUACCCAUUAGAUUAGUUUUAUCAUAUAUGGGUAUUACUAUUCUGAUUGGUAUAUGACAAAAUUAAUCCAUUGUCUUAUAUAUAUACCUUGUUUUUACUUUGGCUUUUAGUUUUCUUGGUGUGUUAAGUAUUGUUGAAGUACCGGCAUGUUUGUUUCAUUUGUGUUUGAUUCUUAAUUAUAGUAGCAACAUUACAUUUUUAGGAACUAUUUAUUGUUGAAUGUAGCUCAAGUUUAAGGUAAAAGAUUGGCUUAGUACUGCUUGUUGUUUCUGCUUAUUAGUAUGUUCCUGAUAUUGGAAUGUAAUAUUUUUUCUUCAUGUUAUUGUAGAGACAAUUAAGUAUAUGUAUGUAACAAUUUUUGCAUUCAGAUUAUUUAAACCAGACUUUGUUUUAUCUGGUUUACAAAAUCUAAUUUUUGCUGAACUCAGUAUCACUUUUGACAGACUGUUAAUCUUUGAAGUUGCUCCCCUUUUUUCCCUCAAGUUGUUGUUAAAUUAAAAUAUAUGUCAAAUUGUGAUAAAAAUUAAAUUAAAUGAAAAACAAAAUUCUAGAACAGUCUUGUGCUUCGCUCAAUGUACUAAGUAGAUGGUGUUUGGAACAGGUGUCUUUGUUCUGUUUUGUCGAUUCUUGUUCUCUAUAUUGCUCUGUGUAGCACGUCUGUUCUCCCUGUAAAUUUCAGUUAAAUAAUUGUUUACGUAUGAAUUUGUUUCCAAUUUGUUAGUGAUUUUGCGUUUUUUCCCCCUUUAACAUAUCUUUUUUUGACAAGUGUUAUCGAUUAUAAAUAUUUGGUGAACACUUUAUGGAUCAAGUACUUUAUUUAAUAUAAGUACUGUUCUGACUGUUCAGUACUUUGUUAAGGUUGUGAACAGAAGGGUGAUAAAUAGAAGUUGUACUGAUAAGUAAUGUCAGGAUAACUUUAUUGAGAAUUGGACAUGCAAUUGAAACUUUAACUUCUUAUGUCUCUAAUUAUGAAUUGCACAAUGAAUUUGUUAAUUGAGGACCAUAUAGUGUCCUAUAAUUGUUGCUCAACUUUAGUUGCUUGCUAAUAGAUCAUCAAAUUUUAAUUGUAGAAUUUUGGAUGAAUUUGUCCAUUAACAUUUUUACUUGUAGUUCAUGUAAUUAUUUUUAUGUCUAAUGCUAGUGUAUUGAGUUCUAUUAAAAACUUUUUAUUACUUUUUGUUUGAAUAGUUUCAAAUUUUAUUCUCAUAUGCUCAAAAUGUUAGUAAUUAUGUUCAUCUGUUGUCAUUGUUAUUAUCCACACUGUUGGUUUUCACACUAAUUUUUUUUGAUGGUUAUGGAUAUCAUGGAUCGUCAUUUGAGCAAUCUUAUAGAUGCUACCCUGCAUCCUUUAUAAAAUGCAGUGUGAAUAUCUAAUUUUUCUUUUGAAUUUGUUCCAGUUAUAAGCAACGCAUUGAAGAACUCCAAAUCUUUCUUACCAUCGUCUUCUGAGAAUUCAUCCGAUGAUUCUUUGCUGUCGGAAUCUUUGGAAUCGUCAAUAACCCUUUCUUCUUGAGCUCGUCUAAUCGCUGAAAAUCCUUGCGU
rnacentral:lncRNA from 1 species